rnacentral:snoRNA from 1 species
AAUUAGGAAGGAUAUAUCAGGGAUCAGACAACUCAGUGGAGAAACCUUGUAUGAGUACUGGGAAAGAUUCAAGAAAUUAUGUGCAAGCUGUCCUCACCACCAGAU